rnacentral:rRNA from 1 species
UACAGAGGGUGCGAGCGUUAAUCGGAAUUACUGGACAUAAAGCGUGCGUAGACGGUUAUUUAAGUCGGAUGUGAAAGCCCCGGGCUCAACCUGGGAAUUGCAUUCGAGACUGAAUAGCUAGGGUGCGGUAGAGGGAAGCGGAAUUUCCGGUGUAGCGGUGAAAUGCGUAGAUAUCGGAAGGAACAUCAGUGGCGAAAGCGGCUUCCUGGACCAGCACCGACGUUCAGGCACGAAAGCGUGGGGAGCAAACAGG